CGGGCAGGGCAGCUGCUGGUGCUGACGCACGAGAGGAAAGUCCGAGCCCCGCAGAGCAGGAUAACGGCUAACGGCCGCCGGGGGUGACCCCAGGGAAAGUGCAACAGAGAGAUACCGCCCGGCAUUGCCGGGUAAGGAUGGAAAGGCGAGGUAAGAGCUCACCGGCAUGGUGGAGACAUCAUGGCCAUGUAAACCCUAUCCGGAGCAACACCGACUUGAAGUGGUCUGCUCGGCCUAUACUUCAGAAGGGUGGCUUGAACGGCUCAGCAAUGGGUCGUCUAGAUAGAUAGCUGCUUUCAACGACAGAACUCGGCUUACAACCCCGGUC
rnacentral:RNase_P_RNA from 1 species